GUGAGCAGUAGUCAGAAUGAAGUUUUGAAUUUGCAGUACAAGGUCUGCUAUGCUAGAAUUUUGGACAUGAAAAGAAAGUUUCUUGAGGCUGCACUUCGGUAUUACGGCAUCUCCCAGAUAGAGCAACGCCAAAUAGGGGAUGAAGAGAUUGAUGAGAAUGCUUUAGAGCAGGCCCUAU